rnacentral:misc_RNA from 1 species
GCAGAUUGAAGGGGAGGGGGGCGUCAGCCUCCCUCGUGAGGGCAAGCCUCACAUGAGGCGCAAGCCUCAUCAUGCACGAUGUUGAAACGAGGUUGCCGGACACACACACAUCUGGGAUAGAUAUCCGAGGAUAGACAUCUCAACUGUGACGGACGGACGGCAAACACAACACACCUAUGUAUGUAUGCGAGCACUUAUAGAAACAG